CCUCUGUAGCUCAGUUGGUUAGAGCGCUGCACCGAAAUCACAGGGCCGUAGGUUCAAAUCCUAUACCAGAGGA
rnacentral:tRNA from 1 species